UGUGACACCGAUGGCUGCUGCACAGCCGAGGAGAUGAGGAGCAGGUCCUGUUCGGCUAAGGAAAAACGCAGGAGCAGAAGAGGGGAGCGGAAAAAGAAGGCGAAGGAGAGAGAAGCCGACGGUGACGUGCAAAGGAUGCUGCGUUUUCAUCGAAGAGGUGCAGCGGUCUCAGCUGAGCUCUCGCCGGUGUCCGGUUUCGGCGGCGGCUGUCCGGUACGGCGGGAGCGAGCCGACUGAUCCGCUCCUGGACACCYGAGCUUGGAUGCUUCUGUGCCGAUCUCUCCAGACGUCCCCGUUUGCUGCCAGGGAUGUUCCUGAUCCCCCUCCUCUCGGGGAGGUGCCGUGAAACCCAGCCCAGCAGCAGCGGUGAAGCAGCCCGGUAACGCUGGGAGACACCGUGGGGAAAAGCUGGCCCGGGAACGCCAUCGCACUGUGUCCGGAGGAGGGUUUGGCCCGCUGAGCUGACGGCGAAACCGGUCGCCGUCCUCCCCGUCCCUCCCGGGGUCGAGGGGCCUCCAAGUCAGCACAGCCUAAAACGCAGCCGGCUUCGGGUGCAAAGAGCCCUGGUAGCUCGGCGAGAGCGAGCGCCGCUCGCUCCAGUUUUGGCUGUGUGCGUUUCUCAGCGCGUGAGAGUUAUGCGAUAGUUACUCCGUUCCUUUACUCUUGCUCCCGAAGCCGAUUAAUUAGCCAGAAUCUCCGUUUCAGUUGAAAAACGGGGUUUCUAGCACUCGUAGGAAUAGAGAAGAGCGUGGAUACGUGGACCUUCCAGGUCAGAAACCAAAAGUCAAAGGAACCUAAAUCUAUUUGACUUAAAGGUCAUGAGACUUAGCGGCGUGAUAUGUCGUGAUUUUCAAAUGUUAACACUGCAAGCCCUCRGCUUGGCAAAUCACCGCUGCAGGUUAUAAACUGCAACUUGAAGACUUGGGUUGUUUCUAGUCUGCUUUAACAGAGGUUUGCUGACGGAGUGAUUACCUGCAGAAAAGGUUUUGUGCAAGGUCCGUUAGAGAGCAUGGAACCGCAGCCUGGCCGCCGAGGAGCUCGGAGGGCGACGCGCGGCUCGGGCGCCACGGAGCAUCUUUCGGCCCGGGACGUGUUCUCCUAUCGCAAGUCAGGCACUGCUUAAAAUGGUGAAAUGUGGCGGYGGGGUCAUCAGACGAUGCCGUAACCCAUCGUGCUGCUGAGAUCGGAGCUGUCGUCUAUUUUAAGUCCGACCCCGUAAAGCAGUGUUGACUGCGCUUUGCCGUAAAGGCCGAGGCUGCAGCCAUUCUCCGCUCCCGUCCUYGGCUUAGGGCAGCGUAACUUGUGUCCUACCAGCAAGCGGCACCUGCAGCGCUGGUGGAGAGCCCGGCACGCGGCCGCUGGCGAGAAACACCGUGGCGAGGACGGGGAAGCAGCCGAGCCAAGCCGCCCCGGCCCCGCAGCCAGCGCGACGCCCUCCCCAGCCGAGCCAGGGCCCCCAGCGUCCCUUUCCUGGGCUCUUUUYGCAUGGAUGGGUGUUUUCCCAUCGCGAGUUACUUAAUGCAUUAAAAAAAAAAAGAUGAUCUGCAAUUGCAGCGUCAGCGGACGGAGCUGCAGUUCACGGGGCCGGUAACGUCGCGGGGGCGCGAUGUUGCCCGAAUYGCUCGCUCGCGUAGGAACAGCAAUAUUCAAUAACUCGGUAGCUAACGCAGAUGGUUGAACAUUGCCAUAAACGAUGCAGAUGARGCGAAUUCUUUGGCUGCCCUUAAAUACGCUCAGCUGGUGUAAACGCUCACAUCUGCCUUUACAUCGAUUAAUCCCCCCUCGGGCAGUGGAGCUACGGUAUUUCCGCCGGUGGAGAGCCGGCUCCCGGUCUCCUAACCUCUAACGCCCGCGUGCCGCGGGGAAGCCUCUCCGAUGGUUACCCGCGUUACGCCUGGUGCCUGCCGGCGCGGUGGAAGUCCCUCACCUCCAUAAACACCUAAUUAAUUUCUGUGCUUUUAAGGAAAUUAAGCCGUGCAGCGAUAUGCCGCCAGCGAGCAAAUUGCACGGUGCUGAUGUCACCAAUUAAUGCUUCAAGAAAUAAUAGUGUACUUCAGAUGCUGACUGUUUCUUCCCCUAAAUUAAUUUGUCGCUGYACAAUAAAACAAGACUAUUGUCCUA
rnacentral:lncRNA from 1 species